UUUUUAGUCUUGAUUAGCCCGCCACAGAUUACCCUGAAGCGGUUCAGACAAAACAACAAGUGGCGAUAUUUCCUCAUUCAAACUUUCUUCAUUGAUUUGUCUGAGGAGUCAGAGAGACUGAGGGGAUUACAGUUACCCUUUAAUGUCAGUCUGUUUCAAAAGCAGAUCAAAGUUCCUCACAGGAGCUUUAAAUGAGGUGAAAAUGUCACCAAACAUUGACUUUUCUGUUUCUUUGACUCUCAGGGAAACAGAUUGAUUUGGGUAUUUAUUGUUUGGGCUAGUGAACAAAUGUUGCACACUUUACACAAAGCAUAGAAGGAGAUGAACACGUAUUUCAGACAGCACUAAGGCAAGUCCUCUUUAUAGCAGCAGGUGGGUUUGGACACAGAUUGAAUAAUCAGUACAAACGUUUUAAAUGAGGAGACAGUUUGAAUAAAAACAUGUUUCUGCUGCAGAUUGUUUAAGCUCUGAGUUCUAAAGUGUCAUUAUGACAGAACAGAGGUGUGGGUUCUACAUCGCUUACAUCAUAAAGAGGCAGAGAUCAGAUAAAUAGGAGUUUGGUAGAUUUACUCUGAGUGAGGAGAGAUUUCUCUGAGAGGAGAGCUGUUUUUUGUUGUUGAAGAGAGAGAUUUUUUCUGAGUUUGCAAAGAUUCAAACUUUAAGGUUUGUUUUCAGUCUUUAAACCUGAAACUGAGAACUAACUGGAGAAAAGUCAGCUGUGAGGGGUGCUUCAGUAAGGUGUCCAGGUGCCAGAACCUCAAAACCAAAGAGGCCGUCAAGAUCCUGAAAAAGGAUCCUGGAUACUGAGAAAGAGGACUCUCAGACUUCUUUUGAUUCUUACAACAUAUCAAUAGAUUCAUCUGCUCAUCACUAUGUAUUACACACUCCAUUAUACUGCUCCAUAAGAAGGUCCACGGUAUACACACUGUUGUUCUGUCUCCUCAGGUGUCCAUCUUAAAGGUCAUCUCAGUCCUCAAUCCAGAUGCCACCGAUUUGGUGAAGUUUUUCGAGCAGUUCGAUCACAUGGGACGAACCUGCCUCGCAUUUGAGAUGCUAGACACAAACCUCUAUGACCUGCUCUCACACCGGGAUUGGGAAUCAAUGUUCCUGAAUGAGAUCAGACCAAUUGCAAAGCAGGGAGUUAAAAUUGUUUUACAGAGCCAAUCUUCUGCUGUACAUAUCUCCCACAGAUCAACGCAGACUGUACACAGCCAAGAAUAUAAAAGUGAACCUUUCUGUGUGGUCUCUGCAGCUCUUUGUUACAUUGGAUGCACUGAAGACUCUUGGCAUCUUGCAUACUGAUAUAAAACCAGAUAACAUCAUGGUUAUCAACGAGCUGGACCUGAACUUUACCUAGCUUUAGACUCCUGAGGAAUACACAGCUGUACCUGCCUUGGGACUACGGAUGAAAUUUAGCAUCUGUGCUAAAUAUGGCACAUUUACAUUGAUGUUCAAUGCAUUCAUGUCGAUCAAAAUGCAUUAUUAAUAUAUGCAUUAAUAAUGAUUGUGGACUCUAAGGGUUGCUUAAUCAUUAGUAUCACCGCACAGUGUUUUUGGUGUCAUGGUGAGAUGGUCCCUCUCCAUCUAAGUGUCUUAGGUCUCUCUCUCCUUCUC